rnacentral:pre_miRNA from 1 species
GUAAUAUAGGAUACAUCCACUUAGUUUUUAAUUAAAAAAACUAAGAAACAUCUCUUAAAUAAGAGAUAUAAGAGACGUCUCUUAUCUUUUUUAGUUAAAAGCUAAGAGUCUGUAUCUUAUAUUAC